rnacentral:lncRNA from 1 species
GUAAGCAAAAUUUCAUUCCAAUUAUAAAGUCACACUUUUUAAUUAGCACAAAUUACAGAUUAUAAUUUUUUUAGUUAUUAACCUCAACACUAACAAUACCGAAGCCCCGUACCAAUAACUAAUCUAAAAAUAAAAUAUAAUUUUGAGAUCUUGGUACGGGGCUUCGGUAUUGUUAGUGUUGAGGUUAAUAACUAAUCUAAAAAUAAAAUAUAAUUUGGAAAAAGUUAACCAUUCAAUUGAAACUUAUACACACUAAUAUUAUACCUUAUUAGGAUUUAAGAUUCUGCUUUGUUUGAACUCGUGUCUGGUAAAUAAAUAUAUUGCUUUCAUUUAGUAAAUAAGUUACAGUUGCUCAAAAUACAAUUAUGUCAAUAUAUAGCGGUUACACUCCGGCUCGAACUCGAUAGAACCCAAACCGGUCUCAAAC